GGCGGCGGGGAGCGGCUCGGGGCCGGAGCUCCGCGGGAGGAGGGAGCGAUGGGGGCGGCGGUGCGGUGGCCCUCGGCCCGUCCGGAGUUGCGGAGCUCCGCGGCCGUUCCGCCGCCGCCCGUCCCGAGGCGUGCGCAGCCCCCGCUGUCUGCCGCGCGCCUCUGCCUGCCGAACGACGAGGAGGAACCGGAGUGUGGCGGAACGUCCGUCCUCAAAGGCUGCCCCCCACCGUGCCGCCCCUGGGAGUUUGGGACGUGGCGCUGAACGAAGCGGUCGGUGAUUCAGCUGCGGCUGCUUCUGGUGGGGAUCACAGAGCGGUUGGAGUUGGAAGAGGCUCUCAGAAGUCCAACUCGCAGCAUUGGGCACAGACACCCACAGCUCCAUCGGUGCUCGGAGCCCCCCCGGCCUCACCUCGGGUGUCUGCAGGGAUGGGCACCACCGCCCCUACGAGCAGCCCAUUCCAGUGCCUCACCGCCCUUAUUGUUUUCCUUACAUCCAAUCUAGAGCUCCCCUCUGUUAGUUUGAAACCAUUUCCCCCUGUCCUAUCACCCUGCUAAAGAGUCUGUCCCCUUUCUUACAGCCCCUUCAGACUGACAGGCCGCUAUAGGUCUCCCCGCAGCCUUCCCUUCUCCAGCUGCACAGCCCAGCUCUCAGCCUGGAGGUGUUCCAUCCCUGGGAACAUUUUUGUGGCCCUCCUCUGGAUGCUCUCCAACAGCCCCACGUCCCUCCUGUACUGAGGACUCCCAUCCGGGCGCAGUGCUGCAGGGCUGCGCUCCAUCCUCACACCCCCUGGCUCAUACUGAUGGUGAGGGUUGCUGUGACCCGGGUGCAGACCUCGCACGUGGAUUUAUUGAACCUCAUAAGGCUGAUUCCAGACCAUCCAGGUGGCGACUCCAAAGAGACAGGAAAACUAGGGAAUGACCAACAUCAGGCAUCUGCUGUGGGUGGUGUGGAAGUGUGGCUGCAGCUGAUGGUAUCAGGGCUGCAGCAGCAGAGCUGCAGCUGCUGGAGGAGGUAUUUUGGAGAACAAAUUUGGGAAAUGAAGAGAAAUAAGGAAAAGCUAGCUGACCUUUGGAGAAGGAGCUGUUUUGUGUUGUUUCUUGUUCAUGGGGAGUUAGUACAGUCAAUGGAAGCACAGGGCAAAGGGACAGAAAGGGGUAAGGGGAAGUGAGGAUGUAACAUAGUGAUGGAGGCAGACCCAGCUCUGGGCCGGACUGAGGGGUUGGCAACAAGGGCAGCCUGCCAAAAAUUGGAGAGACAGGAACAGUGGGAAGGGAGUACAGCUCUGAAGAGUAAAGGGGACAGAAGUGCAGCAAACUGCACAGGCUGGAAUAGGAAGAGGGGCAGAGGCACAGGGGAGGAGGAGAUAUGCCAGGGGUUGCUUGUGGGGAGGUAGGAAUGGCAGAGUGUUUAAGUCAGGAGGGAACAAGAGGGAAAAGGGAAUCUCUUUCUUACUCAGAGGACUUGCAGGGACAGCCUUGUUUUCUUAUGGUGCCAGGGGUGCAGAAUAUAAAUCAUGUGGGCAGAUGUGAUCAGAGACGAAGUAGGGGGAGGGGAGAUCAUAAACACCCAUAGAAUUAUAAAUAAUAUGGGGAAGCAGCAGGAACUGUCAGCAUGUCUGACAGCAGGGGACCGUAUGGGUGCAGCAGGCUGGAACAAACAGAAGUAGCUCGUGCUGGUUUUGCACAGCUUGAUCACAUGAGAAGUGCCUGGCCAUGGGAUGCCACAGACACCGGAGGCACGAGCAUGGAAAGGGAUUACAGAAGCUUACAGAAAACAGAUUUCUCACUGUCUGCUAAAAAUGUUUCUGAGUCGUCUUCCAGCCCACAAAGUCCAUGAAGUCACUUCUCUGCGCUCGCUCUGUUUCUGUGGUCAGUUUAAAUGAGGUACCUGAGUCGAUCUAACAGCUUGCUGAUGGUACAUGCAGUUCUGCUCCCGUCCUCCUGCAGCUAUUUUUUAGUCAGUUGAGUCAGCCCACGGGUUUAUGAGCCAGCGGCAUCCGUCAAAUCGACACUGCUCGGCUUUGUUGAGCCUCAUGAUGUUCACCUGGGCCCACUGCUCGGCCUGUCCGGGUCCCUCUGGCUGGCAUCCUUUCCUUCUGUUCUAUCAACUGCACCGCUCAGCUCGGUGCCAUCAGCAAAGUGCUGCGGGUGCACUCAAUCCAUCACUGAUGCCAUUGCUAAAGAUGCUGAAGAGCGCCGGUCCUGAGAUGGACCCCUGGGGGCCACCACUCCUCACUGACCUCCAUCCACACAUUGAGCCAUUGAGCACCACUCUCAAUCUUGUUGGUGCAAUCUUGUUUUCCUAUGCAAAGAAGAAGAAUUUCUUCUAAUGGCAGCUGUGAUUCUUAUGCUAUUACCUGAUUGCAGGAAUUCGGGCUUUAAGCAUUAACAUCAGAGUCAUGAUAAGAUCCUGAUAUUUACUGCACUGGCUUCUAAAAGCCAAUGCCAUGGCUGGAAUGCUUUCUAUCAAUUCUGAAAGGCGGUGGUGACUGGGGAGAGUUCCCGGUAGUUGAUAAAAGCAGAAUUCUCCAGCUGACAGAAUAUCCUGCACUGAGAUCUAAUUGCAGGCUGCUGCAGGGAACGUCUACGCUUUGACUUCCAUUUAACCAAUUCUUCUGUUUUGAAUAAAUCCUACUUAGUCAUUGAAAUAAGUAUCUGCUGGGACAACCGCAAUGCAUUCUUCUGUUACAAGUUAAAAUGUGUUGUACUUUACCCAUGCUCAGUAUUACAAGAGGUGCAUCUGAGAGGCUCCUAGAAACCACUCAGCUCUUGUGUCUUCUGUGAGAUGAGUUUGUAUGCUCUACUGUGAUCCGCAGACCAUGAAUGACACAGUAAAUAUGGACAUUGAUCUCUGCCAUGACAGCCUCCUCCUUCCAGCUGCGGGGUGUUCUUU
ensembl:lncRNA